rnacentral:lncRNA from 1 species
GACAUUGCUAUUUAAAGGAAAGAAAUCAAUUGCCUCUUCUUCCUCUGCCUCUCCGAUUCUCUUCUCCGGACGCUCUCUCUCCCUCUUGGUUACCCAAAGGCAGAGGAAACAAAUAAUUCAAAUUCAAAAAACAUCGCCUAGACAUUGCUAUUAAAGGAAAGAAAUCGAUUGCCUCUUUCUUCCUCUGUCUCACCGCUUCUCUUCUCCGGACGCUCUCUCUCCCUCUUGGUUACCCAAAGGCAGAAGAAAUAAAUAAUUCAAAUUCAAAAAACAUCGCCUAGACAUUGCUAUUUGAAGGAAAGAAAUCGAUUGCCUCUUUCUUCCUCUGCCUCUCCGCUUCUCUUCUCCGGACGCUCUCUCCCUCUCUCUCUUGGUUACCCAAAGGCAGAAGAAUAAAAUACUUCAAAUUCAAAAAACAUCGCCUAGACAUUGCUAUUUAAAGGAAAGAAAUCGAUUGCCUCUUUCUUCCUCUGCCUCUCCGAUUCUCUUCUCCGGACGCUCUCUCUCCCUCUUGCUUACCCAAAGGCAGAAGAAACAAAUAAUUCAAAUUCGAAAAACAUUGCCUAGACAUUGCUAUUUAAAGGAAAGAAAUCGAUUGCCUCUUUCUUCCUCUGCCUGUCCGCUUCUCUUCUCCGGACGCUCUCUCUCUCUCUCUCUCUCGGUUCCCCAAAGGCAGAGGAAACAAAUAAUUCAAAUUCAAAAAACAUCGCCAAGACGUUGCUCCUUAAAAGGAAAGAAAACGCUGAGGCCAGAUU